UUACGGGAGGCAGCAGUCGGGAAUUUUGGGCAAUGGGCGAAAGCCUGACCCAGCAACGCCGCGUGAAGGAUGAAGUAUUUCGGUAUGUAAACUUCGAAAGAAUGGGAAGAACUCAAUGACGGUACCAUUUAUAAGCUCCGGCUAACUACGUGCCAGCAGCCGCGGUAAUACGUAGGGAGCAAGCGUUGUUCGGAUUUACUGGGCGUAAAGGGCGCGUAGGCGGCAAAUCAAGUCAGCUGUGAAAUCUCUGAGCUUAACUCAGAACGGUCAGCUGAUACUGCUUUGCUAGAGUGCGGAAGGGGCAAUCGGAAUUCUUGGUGUAGCGGUGAAAUGCGUAGAUAUCAAGAGGAACACCUGAGGUGAAGACGGGUUGCUGGGCCGACACUGACGCUGAGUGCGCGAAAGCCAGGGGAGCAAACGGGAUUAGAUACCCCUGUAC
rnacentral:rRNA from 1 species